rnacentral:rRNA from 1 species
UGAGCUGCUUCUAUCAGUUAGCGGCGGACGGGUGAGUAACACGUGGGUAACCUGCCUGUAAGAUGGGGAUAACUCCGGGGAAAACCGGAGCUAAUACCGAAUAACACUUUCGCUCGCAUGAGCGGAUGUUAAAAGACGGUUUCGGCUGUCACUUACAGAUGGACCCGCGGCGCAUUAGCUAGUUGGUGAGGUAACGGCUCACCAAGGCGACGAUGCGUAGCCGACCUGAGAGGGUGAUCGGCCACACUGGGACUGAGACACGGCCCAGACUCCUACGGGAGGCAGCAGUGGUCU